rnacentral:rRNA from 1 species
UACGUAGGGUGCAAGCGUUGUCCGGAAUUAUUGGGCGUAAAGAGCUCGUAGGCGGUCUGUCACGUCGGCUGUGAAAUCCCGAGGCUCAACCUCGGGUCUGCAGUCGAUACGGGCAAACUAGAGUAUUGCAGGGGAGACUGGAAUUCCUGGUGUAGCGGUGAAAUGCGCAGAUAUCAGGAGGAACACCGAUGGCGAAGGCAGGUCUCUGGGCAUUAACUGACGCUGAGGAGCGAAAGCAUGGGGAGCGAACAGG